UACGUAGGGUGCAGGCGUUAAUCGGAAUUACUGGGCGUAAAGCGUGCGCAGGCGGUUUGCUAAGACAGGUGUGAAAUCCCCGGGCUUAACCUGGGAACUGCGCUUGUAACUGGCAAGCUAGAGUGUGGCAGAGGGGGGUGGAAUUCCACGUGUAGCAGUGAAAUGCGUAGAGAUGUGGAGGAACACCGAUGGCGAAGGCAGCCCCCUGGGACUAACACCU
rnacentral:rRNA from 1 species